rnacentral:rRNA from 1 species
AACUAACGCUGGCGGCGCGCCUAAUACAUGCAAGUCGAACGAUGUAGCAAUACAUAGUGGCGCACGGGAGAGUAACACGUGGAUAAUCUCCCCUCGAGAGAAGAAUAACUAGUCGAAAGAUUGGCUAAUACUUCAUAAGACCACAGAAACUAAUGUUUCAGGGGUAAAAGUCGUAAGACGCUUGAGGAUGAGUCUGCGUCCCAUUAGCUAGUUGGUGAGGUAACGGCUCACCAAGGCGACGAUGGGUAGCUGGUCUGAGAGGAUGAUCAGCCUCACUGGAACUGACACACGGUCCAGACUCCUACGGGAGGCAGCAGUAGGGAAUAUUGCACAAUGGAGGAAACUCUGAUGCAGCGACGCCGCGUGAGUGAUGAAGGACUUCGGUUUGUAAAGCUCUGUUGUCAGGGAAUAAAAAAAUGAAUGUACCUGACGAGAAAGGACCGGCUAACUUCGUGCAGCAGCCGCGGUAAU